rnacentral:misc_RNA from 1 species
AACGCACAUUGCGCCCUUUGGUAUUCCGAAGGGCAUGCCUGUUCGAGCGUCAUUAUCACCCCUCAAGCCCCCUGGCUUGGUGUUGGACGGCUUGGUUGACCGCUAACGUCGACCCCUCCUAAAGACAAUGACGGCGCCCCGCGGCACCCCCGGUACACUGAGCUUUUCAUCGAGCAUGUGUCGGACAAGGGUCCCCGGGACACGGCCUCUCUCUUUCCCACGCGUCGCGGGAAAAAGUUUUCUGAAAGGUUGACCUCGGAUCAGGUAGGAAUACGCGCUGAACUUAA